UCCAUUUCCCUUUAGGGUGUGUCUGUCAGGAGGCUGCAUCUGCUCAGUAUGCAGCUGGAGACCUGAGGACCGGAUCCACACAGCUCCGGGCGGCUGAGUCGAGUCCAAACGCAGCCAGAGAGCAUUUCUUGCAGAAGAGAGGGCGAGGGAUUGCUCAGCUGGAACGCGAAGCUUUCUGUGGCGCGAAUCAGUCGUGUCCUCCUCCCUUCCGGCGUGGACAGCCUGGCACGUCAUAAGGAAAUCCUCUCAGAGACACUGCUGCGGAACGAUGUCCCACGCACUCUCCCCAGGUACGUGUGUUUCCUCUUUGGCAGGUUCCCGCUGCUGACCUAAAAGUGAAGUGGCAGCUCC